ensembl:snRNA U6 spliceosomal RNA
GUGCUCGCUUUGGCAGCACAUAUACUGAAAUUGGAACGAUAUAGAGAAGAUUAGCAUGACCCCUGCGCAAGGAUGAAAAAUCAUCUCAAGCUGGGUGUACUAGAUGUAC